rnacentral:snoRNA from 1 species
CGCCCUCAGCCUUACUCCAGGGGCUUUCUGCUGUGAAGUGCCCUGGCAUUGCCUGGGGGUACAUGAAAAAAGCACAGACCCUCCCCAGGAAGACUCUGUUUUCUUGUGGGGCCUACGAAUUGAGCUGACAGC